rnacentral:lncRNA from 10 species
GGGUACUAGAUAAGCAGUUCCUCCCAUCACCCUGGGAAAAGUGCAGAGCGGAUUGAUUUUGCAAUCUACUCAGAAAGGACUGUGGGAAUCAUGAGAUUGGAAAUGUGGUCAAGGUGAGGUCAGUCAUGGGUCAUUCAUUCAUUCCUUCUUGCAAACCUUUACCGAGUACAGACUAUGUGUCAUGCUUUUGCUUCUGGGAAGGCAAAAGUGCAUAAAAUGCAGUUUGUGACUUUGCAAAUUUCAUAGCCUAUUGGAAGAUGCUGAUGUGCAGAUGGAGUCUCCCUCUGUCGCCAAGGCUGGUGUGCACUGGCGCGAUCUCGGCUCACUGCAAGCUCCGCCUCCCGGAUUCACCCCAUUCUCCUGCCUCAGCCUCCCGAAUAGCUGCGACUACAGGCACCCGCCACAAUGCCUGGCUAAUUUUUUGUGUAUUUUUAGUAGAGACUGGGUUUCACCGUGUUAGUCAGGAUGGUCUCGAUCUCAUGACCUCGUAAUCUGCCCGUCUCGGCCUCCCAAAGUGUUGGGAUUACAGGCGUGAGCCACCGCGCCCGGCCGCUGCUAGUCUUAUAAAAAUCUAGCACAUAUA